rnacentral:rRNA from 1 species
UAUUGCACAAUGGAGGCAACUCUGAUGCAGUGACACCGCGUAUAGGAAGAAGGUUUUCGGAUUGUAAACUAUUUUAGACAGGGAAGAAAAAAGACAGUACCUGUAGAAUAAGCCCCGGCUAACUACGUGCCAGCAGCCGCGGUAAUACGUAGGGAGCAAGCGUUAUCCGGAAUUAUUGGGUGUAAAGGGUGCGUAGACGGGACAGCAAGUUAGUUGUGAAAGCCCUCGGCUCAACUGAGGAACUGCAACCAAAACUAUUAUUCUUGAGUGCAGGAGAGGAAAGUGGAAUUCCUAGUGUAGCGGUGAAAUGCGUAGAUAUUAGGAAGAACACCGGUGGCGAAGGCGACUUUCUGGACUGUAACUGACGUUGAGGCACGAAAGUGUGGGGAGCAAACAGG